ACUAGUGAUUACUCCUACGGAGGCAGCAGUGGGGAAUAUUGGACAAUGGGGGCAACCCUGAUCCAGCCAUGCCGCGUGUGUGAAGAAGGCCUUUUGGUUGUAAAGCACUUUAAGCAGUGAAGAAGACUCCAUGGUUAAUACCCAUGGACGAUGACAUUAGCUGCAGAAUAAGCACCGGCUAACUCUGUGCCAGCAGCCGCGGUAAUAAUCCCGCG
rnacentral:rRNA from 1 species